GUGGGCACAAAAUUUGAGGGAAAUAAGGUUUCUGUACAUCAGGAACAUUUCUGGUAUCUUUUAUUUCAGCUCAUGAAACAUGGGCCCAACACUUAACAUGUUGUGUUUAUAUUUUUGUUUAGUAUAUAGAGGGGGAAUGGAGAGAGAAAGAAAAAGCAAGAGAUAGCUUUUACUCAAAUAUCCAAACCCAGCCUACCAAACAGUGAACUGAUAGCUGCCACAGAAUGGAAAGCGACAUUGUAUCUGUUUGGCUUGGCUCUUAGGUGUCAAGCGUAGUUCAGCCCUGCUAAGGAACAGAGAGUGACAAUCACAAAGCUAUCCAGCUAGCACAUUCGGUUCCUUGGAAGUUGUGGGAAAGUAUGUUUUUGGUUUGACAUUGGUUGUGAGAAGAAAGCCAUAAGUGUCCUGAUCGAUAAAACUGAAUGUUCUGACAACAUAAGUGAAAAAACACACAAAACAAAAGGCUCAUGUAGGCUAUCCGCGCAUGUUUGUUCACUCACAAAUGACUUCCAGCAGCCAAAUAGUGCUCUGUGCACCCGCCAUUUGAUGAAUGGAAAGAAACAUCUGUUAAAACACCCAAUUAGUUUAAUGACAUUCGACGAUUGAUGACAUUCAGCGAUUGCAUUGAUGCAUCUGCUGCUGCCCGGGCACUUCAGUCUCGGCCAGUCAUCUCCUCCAUGGAAAAAUGUCAGUGUUCUCAUCAAACCACACCGCAUUUUGGAGUGUAUAUACCACCUGUUUUCAAGUCCAUUCGCUCAUUUUUCAUGUGGCUGACAUUCGGUCACGAUAAAUAAUGUUGUAAAAGCC